CCCUACGCCGCGCACUACCACACGCCCUCCGCCUCCGCGCACGUCUACAGGUACAGUCCCCCGAGUAGCCGUAGUAACCGCGCGCUGUGCAGGCUGGCGUGCCCACUACCACACCCGCCCCUACGCCGCGCACUACCACACGCCCUCCGCCUCCGCGCACGUCUACAGGUACAGUCCCCCGAGUAGCCGUAGUAACCGCGCGCUGUGCAGGCUGGCGUGCCCACUACCACACCCGCCCCUACGCCGCGCACUACCACACGCCCUCCGCCUCCGCGCACGUCUACAGGUACAGUCCCCCGAGUAGCCGUAGUAACCGCGCGCUGUGCAGGCUGGCGUGCCCACUACCACACCCGCCCCUACGCCGCGCACUACCACACGCCCUCCGCCUCCGCGCACGUCUACAGGUACAGUCCCCCG
rnacentral:misc_RNA from 1 species